CCCUUAGAUGUUCUGGGCUGCACGCGCGCUACACUGACGCACGCAACAGGUGCCUGCUCCGAGAGGACUGGGUAAUCAUUUGAGUGUGCGUCGUGAUGGGGAUAGAAUAUUGUAAUUAUUACUCUUCGACGAGGAAUUCCUAGUAAGCGCCAGUCAGCAGCUUGCGCUGAUUACGUCCCUGCCCUUUGUACACACCGCCCGUCGCUCCUACCGAUGGGUGAUCCGGUGAAUGAUUCGGACUUCAGCGGCUCCCCUGGGGUGCGCCGGAGAAAGUUUUGUGAACCUUAUCACUUGGAGGAAGGAGAAGUCGUAACA
rnacentral:rRNA from 1 species